GUGGGGAAUUUUGGACAAUGGGCGCAAGCCUGAUCCAGCAAUGCCGCGUGCAGGAAGAAGGCCUUCGGGUUGUAAACUGCUUUUGUACGGAACGAAACGGUUCUGGUUAAUACCCGGGGCUAAUGACGGUACCGUAAGAAUAAGCACCGGCUAACUACGUGCCAGCAGCCGCGGUAAUACGUAGGGUGCAAGCGUUAAUCGGAAUUACUGGGCGUAAAGCGUGCGCAGGCGGUUGUGUAAGACAGGCGUGAAAUCCCCGGGCUCAACCUGGGAAUUGCGCUUGUGACUGCACGGCUGGAGUGCGGCAGAGGGGGAUGGAAUUCCGCGUGUAGCAGUGAAAUGCGUAGAUAUGCGGAGGAACACCGAUGGCGAAGGCAAUCCCCUGGGCCUGCACUGACGCUCAUGCACGAAAGCGUGGGGAGCAAACAGGAUUAGAUACCCCUGUAGUCC
rnacentral:rRNA from 1 species